rnacentral:lncRNA from 1 species
UCAGAUCCUAUAAUUCUCAUAAACUUCAAUACAGGUCACAAGAGUGUGUCUUCUUAGGCUACAAAUGUUUAGCUUCAGAUGAUGAAAUUUGCAUCUCCAAAGAUGUAUUAUUCAAUGAGUCAAAAUUUCCUUAUCCUAUCUUAUUUUCUUCAAAACCUUAUACUUCCACUGAUUCUCACCCUAAUCCCUCCCUCUCAUUGUUUUACCUAAUUUCGCUGCUUUUGUUGGUGCACAACCCUCCCCACUAUUCGCUGCC